GUAGGUGGCAAGCGUUGUCCGGAGUUAUUGGGCGUAAAGCGCGCGCAGGCGGUUCUUUAAGUCUGAUGUGAAAGCCCACGGCUCAACCGUGGAGGGUCAUUGGAAACUGGAGAACUUGAGUACAGAAGAGGAAAGCGGAAUUCCACGUGUAGCGGUGAAAUGCGUAGAGAUGUGGAGGAACACCAGUGGCGAAGGCGGCUUUCUGGUCUGUAACUGACGCUGAGGCGCGAAAGCGUGGGGAGCAAACAGGAUUAGAUACCCUGGUAGUCCACGCCGUAAACGAUGAGUGCUAAGUGUUAGGGGGGUUUUCCGGCCCCCCUUAGUGCUGCAGCUAACGCAUUAAGCACUCCGCCUGGGAGUACGGCCGCAAGGCUG
rnacentral:rRNA from 1 species